AACGCUGAAGAGAGGAGCUUGCUCUUCUUGGAUGAGUUGCGAACGGGUGAGUAACGCGUAGGUAACCUGCCUUGUAGCGGGGGAUAACUAUUGGAAACGAUAGCUAAUACCGCAUAACAAUGGAUGACACAUGUCAUUUAUUUGAAAGGGGCAAUUGCUCCACUACAAGAUGGACCUGCGUUGUAUUAGCUAGUAGGUGAGGUAAUGGCUC
rnacentral:rRNA from 1 species